rnacentral:rRNA from 1 species
UCGAGAAUCUUCGGCAAUGGGCGCAAGCCUGACCGAGCGACGCCGCGUGCGGGAUGAAGGCCUUCGGGUUGUAAACCGCUGUCAGUGGGGAGGAAGGCUCCGUGAAGAACGGGGUUUGACCUAUCCGCAGAGGAAGUGUGGGCUAAGUUCGUGCCAGCAGCCGCGGUAAGACGAACCACACAAACGUUAUUCGGAAUCACUGGGCUUAAAGGGUGCGUAGGCGGCGCGGAAAGUAGGGUGUGAAAUCCCUCGGCUCAACCGAGGAAUAGCGCCCUAAACUACCGUGCUCGAGGGAGAUAGAGGUGAGCGGAACUUAGGGUGGAGCGGUGAAAUGCGUUGAUAUCCUAAGGAACACCGGUGGCGAAAGCGGCUCACUGGAUCUCUUCUGACGCUGAGGCACGAAAGCUAGGGUAGCGAACG